AUUGAACGCUGGCGGCAUGCCUUACACAUGCAAGUCGAACGGCAGCACGGGUGCUUGCACCUGGUGGCGAGUGGCGAACGGGUGAGUAAUACAUCGGAACAUGUCCUGUAGUGGGGGAUAGCCCGGCGAAAGCCGGAUUAAUACCGCAUACGAUCUACGGAUGAAAGCGGGGGACCUUCGGGCCUCGCGCUAUAGGGUUGGCCGAUGGCUGAUUAGCUAGUUGGUGGGGUAAAGGCCUACCAAGGCGACGAUCAGUAGCUGGUCUGAGAGGACGACCAGCCACACGGGGAUGGGAAACCGGCCCAGCUCCCUACGGGGGGAAGGGGGGGGGAAUUUUGGAAAAUGGGGGAAAGCCUGAUCCAGCAAUGCCGGGGGGGGGAAGAAGGCCUUCGGGUUGUAAAGCACUUUUGUCCGGAAAAAAAUCCUUGGCCCUAAUACGGUCGGGGGAUGACGGUACCGGAAGAAUAAGCACCGGCUAACUAGGU
rnacentral:rRNA from 1 species